GACGAACGCUGGCGGCGUGCCUAAUACAUGCAAGUUGAGCGCUGAAGGUUGGUACCUGUACCAACUGGAUGAGCAGCGAACGGGUGAGUAACGCGUGGGGAAUCUGCCUUUGAGCGGGGGACAACAUUUGGAAACGAAUGCUAAUACCGCAUAAAAACUUUAAACACAAGUUUUAAGUUUGAAAGAUGCAAUUGCAUCACUCAAAGAUGAUCCCGCGUUGUAUUAGCUAGUUGGUGAGGUAAAGGCUCACCAAGGCGAUGAUACAUAGCCGACCUGAGAGGGUGAUCGGCCACAUUGGGACUGAGACACGGCCCAAACUCCUACGGGAGGCAGCAGUAGGAAAUCUUCGGCAAUGGACGAAAGUCUGACCGAGCAACGCCGCGUGAGUGAAGAAGGUUGUCGGAUCGUAAAACUCUGUUGGUAGAGAAGAACGUUGGUGAGAGUGGAAAGCUCAUCAAGUGACGGUAACUACCCAGAAAGGGACGGCUAACUACGUG
rnacentral:rRNA from 1 species